rnacentral:misc_RNA from 1 species
UGGUUCUGGCAUCGAUGAAGAACGCAGCGAAAUGCGAUAAGUAAUGUGAAUUGCAGAAUUCAGUGAAUCAUCGAAUCUUUGAACGCACAUUGCGCCCUUUGGCAUUCCGAAGGGCAUGCCCGUUCGAGCGUCAUUAAAUCCAAUCAAGCCUGGCUUGGUAUUGGGCGUCGGGGUCUCCCCGCGCCUCGAUUUCGCCGGCUGGCCGUCGCCCGUCUUAGCGUUGUGACUCACGUUUCGCUAGCGAUGGGACCGGACCACGCCGUUAAAACCCCACGAAUUUCAAUCGAAAUUUGAUUAAGGUUGACCUCGGAUCGGGUAGGAAUACCCGCUGA